CCUACGGGAGACAGCAGUGAGGAAUAUUGGUCAAUGGACGAGAGUCUGAACCAGCCAAGUAGCGUGAAGGAUGACUGCCCUAUGGGUUGUAAACUUCUUUUAUAUGGGAAUAAAACGUUCCACGUGUGGGAUUUUGUAUGUACCAUAUGAAUAAGGAUCGGCUAACUCCGUGCCAGCAGCCGCGGUAAUACGGAGGAUCCGAGCGUUAUCCGGAUUUAUUGGGUGUAAAGGGAGCGUAGGUGGAUUGUUAAGUCAGUUGUGAAAGUUUGCGGCUCAACCGUAAAAUUGCAGUUGAAACUGGCAGUCUUGAGUACAGUAGAGGUGGGCGGAAUUCGUGGUGUAGCGGUGAAAUGCUUAGAUAUCACGAAGAACUCCGAUUGCGAAGGCAGUUCACUGGACUGCAACUGACACUGAGGCUCGAAAGUGUGGGUAUCAAACAGGAUUAGAUACCCGAGUAGUC
rnacentral:rRNA from 1 species